UUGGUACUGAAAGCGCGACAGGACAACCAAGAGGAUAGUGACUUUAACUACAAUUCAAAUACAUUUCUUGGUUCACAGUGACCAUGGAAAAGACAGAUUGGAAAUCACCAAAAGUUAUUGAAUGCAACAAAAAUAUGAACAGUGCAGAGGCCAAGGGAACGAAUCAAAAUGCUACUAUAUAUAAUUCCAGUUAUAAACCAAGAGAAAAUAUCUCAG
rnacentral:lncRNA from 1 species